rnacentral:rRNA from 1 species
GAUGAACGCUGGCGGCGUGCCUAACACAUGCAAGUCGAACGGGGUUAAGAGAAAUUUUCGGAUGGACCUUAACUUAGUGGCGGACGGGUGAGUAACGCGUGGAUAACCUGCCUCACACUGGGGGAUAGCAGCUGGAAACGGCUGGUAAUACCGCAUAAGACCACGUUGCCGCAUGGCAGUGGGGUAAAAGAUUUAUCGGUGUGAGAUGGAUCCGCGUCUGAUUAGCCAGUUGGCGGGGUAACGGCCCACCAAAGCGACGAUCAGUAGCCGGCCUGAGAGGGUGAACGGCCACAUUGGGACUGAGACACGGCCCAA